rnacentral:lncRNA from 1 species
UUGUUCUUACCAAGGCUUUUCAUGUAUGGGCUGCUGCUUUGUCUGAUUUAGUUCUUGAAAUUCAGCUAGAAACUCCACACACCCCUGCCCCCUUCUUUAAAGUUACUGUAAAAUCCAAUGUAGUUGGUUUUUAAAAAUAUAUUAUUUAUUUUUAUUUAUACAAGUACACUGUAGCUGUCUUCAGACACACACACCAGAAGAGGGCAUCAGAUCCCAUUACACAUGUGAGCCACCAUGUGGUUGCUGGGAAUUGAACUCAGGACCUCUGGAAGAGCAGUCAGUGCUCUUAACUGCUGAGCCAUCUCUCCAUCCCCCAAUGUAGUUUUUAUGGUAUGCUAUAAAAGGGAAGUUUAGGUGAUGGCUGGCCUUUCACAUAAAUGUGUUGUGUAGCAAUUUUUAAAAGCAGACCCCAACUUUCUGGAAGUGAAAAGAAAAUGCCAGAAGUAUCAGUCUGAAGCUCCACAAUGUUUCGGAGAAGGGACUGCUGCUCUCCUGAGGAAUGCUGUCUCCCUGGCGCUACGGCAGGUGCAGACAGCCUGAUGUUGCACAAACCCAUUUCGGGUCCAUGCAGGUUUCUGAUUUUAAGAGAGUUAAGACCUCGGCAAUGAUAGACCUCUAUUUUUGAAAUGAGCUUGCUCCUCCCUGGGUUGUACUAAAAAUGAACUGGAGGACAUGAAGAUGCAGUUGGGAGUUCUCCUGUACUCCAGGGUAUUCUGUGUCAAGGUGGCCUGGUCACUCAGCUUCAGGCAGUCCUGGGAGUGGAGAAUUGUAUAAAUUAUCUGGCCUGGGAGACAUUCUGUUAAUAACAUACAUAAGUUUUCCUAAUGACAAGGAAGUCUGUGUACUUAAAAGGUGGCCUUG